rnacentral:lncRNA from 1 species
GUUUCAAUAUUAGCCCUCCAAUCUUCUUCAGAUAAAACAAAGGCAUCAUAUUAAUACUAGACCCAGAAUCUAGCAUAGCUCUUCCUACAUCCACAUCUCCUAUAGCGCAUGGAAGAGUAAGACUUCCUGGAUCCUUCAUUUUAGGCAGAUGUUUUCUCUUCUUAGGACAUGCACAAAUUUCCUGUUCUUCAAUUUCCUCUUCAUCAAGAUCUAUCACCUCUCCAAGAUAGUACUUUAUUCUCUUGGAGUAAACAGGAAUCUGGUGGAGUACUUCAACUGAAGGCAUAACAAUCACCUGAUUAAAAAUCUCUCUAAAUUGCCCGCAGUGAUUUUCUCUUCUCUCUCUUUUUCAUCUUUUUCAAAAAAACUUUCUCUCCUCUCCUCUUGUUCUUCUUCCUCACUGCUCUCUAGCCCAAUAAUUUCUUUUUCAUCUUUCAUCUCUUCUUCCUCCUCCUCACUACUCUCUAUUUCAAUAAUUUCUUUUUUUGAUCUUCUCUCACUCAUGCUCA